rnacentral:rRNA from 1 species
UAUGUAGGGUGCGAGCGUUAAUCGGAAUUACUGGGCGUAAAGCGUGCGCAGGCGGUUUUGUAAGCCAGGUGUGAAAUCCCCGGGCUCAACCUGGGAAUGGCAUUUGGGACUGCAAGGCUGGAGUGCGGCAGAGGAGACUGGAAUUCCUGGUGUAGCAGUGAAAUGCGUAGAUAUCAGGAGGAAUACCGAUGGCGAAGGCAGGUCUCUGGGCUGACACUGACGCUCAUGCACGAAAGCGUGGGGAGCAAACAGG